CAAGAAAAAAAGAGAUUAAUAGGCCUUUUUUCUCUUUGGUUAAUUUGUAGCUAAAGUAAUAGAAUAAGAAAUUAUUCAUUUUCUUCUGAUUCCUUCCUCUCCUGUACUCAUAACUUUCAGAUCAUCUACUUAAAAGAACUCUAAUUAUAUGAACACAUAAAAGGAACCUGGGGCGGAGCAGGGGAAUACAAUGCUGAAGUGCCAAAGAACAUGAAAAUAGGGCGUCCAGCCACAUGGUGGCAGUGUGAGACUUCUCCAAGAAGGAACAACUUUGCUGAUCUGGGUUUGCCAAGACAAAGAUGCACCUUUGGAUCCAUGGCUACAGGAGAUUUCACAUAUGACUUUGGGGAUGCAGAAACUUGGGCAUCUCACUCUGUAAAGAUGAUUGUCCCCACCUGAGUCCCAGAAACAAUUGAUUCCAAGGCUAUUGAUGUCCCAUUCCAGUUGCUCCAUUCCAAGAUGUUAAUCAUUUUGAACAACAGGAGAAGGCA
rnacentral:lncRNA from 11 species